rnacentral:RNase_P_RNA from 1 species
GUAAACCAGGCAGUCGCGGGCGACAGCCGAAAGGCUCCGUCCGAGGAAAGUCCGGGCUUCACAGAGCAAGGAUAACGGCUAACGGCCGCCGAGGGUGACCUUAGGGAAAGUGCAACAGAAAAGAACCGCGAAUCGUCAUAUGGUCCUUUGGUGUCAAUCAUCAGAGGACAGUCUGACGACGCAAGGGUGGAAAGGCGAGGUAAGAGCUCACCGGGGCGACGGAGACGCCGCCGCCGUGUAAACCCUAUCCGAAGCAACACCGUGGAGGGACAUACGGCCUGCUCGGCUGUCCCGCGGAGGUGGCACCGAGCCGCUGCGGCAACGCGCGGCCAAGAUAGAUGACUGCCGAAUACAGAACCCGGCUUACAGAUUUACUC